GACGAACGCUGGCGGCGUGCUUAACACAUGCAAGUCGAACGGAAAGGCCCUGCUUUUGUGGGGUGCUCGAGUGGCGAACGGGUGAGUAACACGUGAGUAACCUGCCCUUGACUUUGGGAUAACUUCAGGAAACUGGGGCUAAUACCGGAUAGGAGCUCCUGCUGCAUGGUGGGGGUUGGAAAGUUUCGGCGGUUGGGGAUGGACUCGCGGCUUAUCAGCUUGUUGGUUGGGUAGUGGCUUACCAAGGCUUUGACGGGUAGCCGGCCUGAGAGGGUGACCGGCCACAUUGGGCCUGAGAUACGGCCCAGACUGCUACGGGAGGCAGCAGUGGGGAAUAUUGCGCAAUGGGCGGAAGCCUGAUGCAGCAACGCCGCGUGCGGGAUGACGGCCUUCGGGUUGUAAACCGCUUUCGCCUGUGACGAAGCGUGAGUGACGGUAAUGGGUAAAGAAGCACCGGCUAACUACGUG
rnacentral:rRNA from 1 species